rnacentral:tRNA from 1 species
GAAAAUUAGUUAAACACAUAACACAUGCUUGUCAAGCUUGAGUUGCUAAUUUAUUAGCAUUUUCUUU